AACGAACGCUGGCGGCAUGCCUAACACAUGCAAGUCGAACGAGACCUUCGGGUCUAGUGGCGCACGGGUGCGUAACGCGUGGGAACCUGCCCUUAGGUUCGGAAUAACUCCCCGAAAGGGGUGCUAAUACCGGAGAAUGUCUUCGGACCAAAGAUUUAUCGCCUUUGGAUGGGCCCGCGUUGGAUUAGCUAGUUGGUAGGGUAAAAGCCUACCAAGGCGACGAUCCAUAGCUGGUCGGAGAGGAUGAUCAGCCACAAUGGGACUGAGACACGGCCCAGAAUCCUACGGGAGGCAGCAGUGGGGAAUAUUGGAGACUGGGCGAAAGCCUGAUCCAGCAAUGCCGCGUGAGUGAUGAAGGCCUUAGGGUUGUAAAGCUCUUUUACACGGGAUGAUAAUGACAGUACCGGGAGAAUAAGCUCCGGCUAACUCCGUG
rnacentral:rRNA from 1 species